rnacentral:rRNA from 1 species
AUGAAAAGGACUCUUAGUAAUAUUUGUGGAAAGAUUAGUCAUGAACAAGCUGUGGAUGAUGUAAGGAAGACGCUGGAGUUGUUUGCUGACAUCCGUUCUACUGACCCUGCCUUCACCUAUGUGGUUUUGACUGACAAGUCCAUCAAGGUUAAAAGUCUCAUGUGGGCUAAUGGGAGCAGCAAAAUGCAAUACAAGUUAUUUGGUGAUGUGGUCACAUUCGACACUACAUACAGGAUAAACCUUUAUGACAUGCCGUUUGGGUUAUUGUCGGAGUUAACAACCAUUUUCAGAUCAUUAUUCUGGCAGGGGUGUUGA